CGGCGCACGGGUGAGUAACGCGUAUACAAUUUGCCUUUUACAGGAGGAUAGCCCAGAGAAAUUUGGAUUAAUACUCCAUGGUAUUACGAGAUCGCAUGGUUUUGUAAUUAAAGUUUCGGCGGUAGAAGAUGAGUAUGCGUCCUAUUAGCUAGUUGGUAAGGUAACGGCUUACCAAGGCGACGAUAGGUAGGGGUCCUGAGAGGGAGAUCCCCCACACUGGUACUGAGACACGGACCAGACUCCUACGGGAGGCAGCAGUGAGGAAUAUUGGUCAAUGGAGGCAACUCUGAACCAGCCAUGCCGCGUGCAGGAAGACUGCCCUAUGGGUUGUAAACUGCUUUUAUACAGGAAGAAACUUACCCACGUGUGGGUAACUGACGGUACUGUACGAAUAAGGACCGGCUAACUCCGUGCCAGCAGCCGCGGUAAU
rnacentral:rRNA from 1 species